AAGGCGAGAGAGUGUGUCUAUGCGUGUGUGUGUCUGUCUGUGCGAGACUGUGUCUGUGUGUUCAGCUUGAGUCUAUUGAGCCAAUUGGAUGGGACUGGGGUUUACAAAGACCAGGGGCACAUAGGAGCUUCCUCAGUAUCACAGGCUUUCACUUUCUUCUAGUGUUUCAGAUGGUGUCUGGGCUGAUGCUGCUGCAGGGCUUGGUGAAGGUGAGGAUUCACCGGGAUUCCUUUGGAUCCUGUCCUGGAUAAUCUCUCUCUCUCUCUCUCUCUCUCGAUGCUGGACUAAUCUGAGAACUCACAGUUGAAGACAUGUUCAUUAGACUGGGACGCCUGACCCCUGGAUACUUCCGUCUCCUCCAGAGACAGGUCUCAGGUGAAGUCCAGAUACAGCCGCAGAAAGGAUUCAUCAACCAGAUCGCCAUGACGAUGGCCAUGGUGGGCAUGAGUGUUUCCUUCUACAGCGCCCGGCGGAUGGCGGAGAAGUUCCAUCUGAAAGAGAAUGCUCCCUGAACAGUUGGACAGUGUGGCCCCUCAACUGGACCAGAGAGAUGGGGGAGAGAUAUGAAGAGAAUCAGAGUAGGCUGCAGUGCUGCACUCCAUCACCUUGCAUUGCAGCGUUUGGCACCUUCACUAGAAUUCAGGCCUACUCAAAGCUGCCAUGCCAAGAUGGUUCUGUGGGCUGAGUGUUUGUUGUUGUUGUUCGAGAGAAUGUCUGUGUUUGAUGGAAGAGGAUGGGUAUCAGGAGCGUUUUGUCUUGCGAGUGAGACCAUGCAGUCUUUAAUAAACAACUGCUGGGUUUGAAAUACAUUUAUCUUUGUAUUAUGAUAACGGGAAAAUGUAAGUGUACUGUGGGGAAAUGGAAAUGUGAAUUACCAGUACUAAUGCCCAAUAGAUUAAAAUGACCUAACAACA